GUCCACGCCCUAAACGAUGUCGACUGGUUGUUGGGGGUUUGACACUCUCAGUAACGAAGCUAACGCGUGAAGUCGACCGCCUGGGGGAGUACGGCCGCAAGGUUAAAACUCAAAGGAAUUGACGGGGACCCGCACAAGCGGUGGAUUAUGUGGAUUAAUUCGAUGCAACGCGAAAAACCUUACCUACCCUUGACAUGUCCUGGAGGCUGGGGAAACCCGGCUGUGCCCGAAAGGGAACGGGAACACAGGUGCUGCAUGGCUGUCGU
rnacentral:rRNA from 1 species